rnacentral:misc_RNA from 1 species
CCUUCCCAGCCUCUAUUUGUCUGCCAAUUUCUGAGUCAAAACUCUCAUAGCGCUUGCUAACAAGCUCAGCCAAAGAACCAUCCUCAAUCAACUUAGCUGCAUUUCGUAGUCCCCGAGCCAAUGUAUCCAUUCCACCAAUAUGAGCAAUGAACAGGUCCUCCACAUCUGUACUCUCUCUUCGCAAUUUUGCAUCAAAAUUGAAUCCUCCUGGUGCCAAUCCUCCAUUUUUUAUCACACUAAGCAUAACCAUAGUUGCCUCGGCAAUAUCCGUCAUGAAUUGAUCUGUAUCCCACCCAAUCUGAGGGUCACCAGUAUUAGCAUCAAUAUUUCCCAGUAAACCAUUGAUUCUUGCAGUUUCAAGCUCAUGAUGACAGCUGUGACCAGAAAGAGUGGCAUGGUUGCACUCAAUAUUGAGCUUGAAUUCUCCUGUAAGUCCAUAUUUUCGCAGGAAAUUAGCUGCUGUUGCAGCAUCCCAGUCAUACUGAUGUUUGGUAGGUUCUUGUGGCUUGGGCUCAAUUAGCAGAGUUCCAUUGAAUCCAAUCUUCUUCUUGUAGGCAGCAGCUCCUUCCAUAAACCUUGCCAAAUGAUCAAGUUCCCUUUCCAUAUCUGUGUUCAAGAGAGACUGAUACCCCUCACGUCCACCCCAGAAGACAUAAUUUUCUCCACCUAAGUAGUGGGUGACCUCCAUUGCUUUCUUAACUUGAGCUGCAGCAUAAGCAUAUACACCUACAUCAGAGCUAGUAGCAGCACCAUGCAUGUAACGAGGAUGGAAAAACAACUGAGCUGUGCCCCACAAAGGAUGGAUCUUGGUUCCCUGAAGCUCUUUGGCAAGGGCCACCACUUCAUCCAAGUUCGCAUUAGUUUCCUCAAGAGCUUUUCCCUCAGGGGCUAUAUCCCUAUCAUGGAAACACCACUUAUCUACUCCAAGCUUGUCCAGGAACUCAAAAUUGGCCCUCAUUCUUCUUUUGGCCAUGGCCAAUGAAUUGGUACCAUCUUCCCAAGGCCAAUAUUUAGUUGGUGCACCAAAUGGGUCACCUCCGGUGCCACGGAAUGUAUGCCAAAAUGCAACACUAAAUCUCAUCCAGUCCUUCAUUUUCUUCCCAAGAAUCUCUUCUUCUGCAUUAUACCAUUUGUAUGCAAGUGGAUUCUUGCUCAAAGGUCCCUCAUACUUAAUUUUAGGAAUGCCAGGGAAGAAUUCCCCUUUCCAUUCACCAGAAUUAUUGCAUUCUCCACCUAGAUCAGCAGGGCAUGUAGGUGGACCAUCAGCAAUCACUCCAAAGGUGACUAUGUUCAAGCAGAGAAGAAACAACAAUAUCUUUCCUCCCUUUAUUUUGCCCAUUUUUUCAAGCUGAUUAGAUGAGAGUAUGAUUGAAAACAGAGAGAG